GACGAACGCUGGCGGCGUGCCUAACACAUGCAAGUCGAGCGGGGUUGAGGCGAGAGGUAACUCGAGCUUCUACCUAGCGGCGGACGGGUGAGUAACGCGUGGGCAACCUGCCUCAAGGUUUGGGAUAACAGCCCGAAAGGGCUGCUAAUACCGGAUAUGCCUAUGGCCUCGCAUGGGGCUAUGAGCAAAGGGGAAACCCGCCUUGAGAUGGGCCCGCGUCCCAUCAGCUAGUUGGUGAGGUAACAGCUCACCAAGGCGACGACGGGUAGCCGGCCUGAGAGGGUGACCGGCCACACUGGGACUGAGACACGGCCCAGACUCCUACGGGAGGCAGCAGCUAAGAAUCUUCCGCAAUGGGGGCAACCCUGACGGAGCGACGCCGCGUGAACGAGGAAGGCCGAAAGGUUGUAAAAGUUCUUUUCUUGGGGAAGAAUAAAGGGAAAGAGGGAAAUGCUUCUCUGAUGACGGUAACCGAGGAAAAAGCCCCGGCCAAUUACGUGCCAAGCAGCCGCGGUAACUACGUCU
rnacentral:rRNA from 1 species